CACAAUAAAAUAUUUAUUAUAUCAAUCAAGGUUCCUUAAGGUGGUACCUAACACUACAGGGAUAUAACUCUUUUAAGUCAGCUAAACGUUUUAAUUGCAUUUUGUUGUAAAAGGAAUAUUAAGCUUCUCAAUGAUCAAUAUUGGUGUUCGUCAAACUGCAAUAUAACCAGUGUAAUUUUUCUGACAAAACAGUUGGUUGAAAGUUUUUGAAUUUUGUAUUUAUUUGUUAAAGGGUCAAAGUAAAUACUUUGACAAAAUUUUAUGAAAAUUAAACGAGCCAAAUUAACUUUAGCUAAAGUGUUGGGUACCACCUUAAAUGGCAUUAAAAUCCACAAUUAUAAUUAGUUAUGAACAUAUCAGUAACAAAUAUGAUAAAUUGUCUGAAAUUAAAUACACCCAAUAAGUAGGUGUAUCACAAUUUGAUUUUUUAUUCUGAAACAAGGCGCUGAUAUUAGCAAAAGUAAUUUAUUACAUUGAUUUUUAUAAUUGGGUGACAAAAAAUAAUUGUGACAAUUAAAUAUAGGACACUUCAUAAACAUCUAAACUUUGUCUGUAAUUUUUAGCCUGUAAUUAAUACAGUACUAAACUAUCGGAACAUAUGCUCAUUUAAACAUAAUUAACAUAUACACACUGUAAAAUGUAAAUAAACUUGAAAUUGUUAUGUGGUGGCUAAACCAGUUCUUAGGGUGAACACUAAUUUUUCCAAAAAAUCUGAAGGCCUGUGAGACAAUUUUAUGUAAUUAAAAUUGGUAUGGACGAAUACUGUUACGUGUAAUGCAGUACAAGCUAAUGUUGUUUUGUCCCAUAGAUGUUUCUAUGGCAUAUUUGUCUAAUUUCUGUAUUGUACCUUAGUAUUUACUCAUACAUGAAAUUAACUGAAAAUUGUAAAUCCAAUACAUUUUCAAAUUUAGCUUGUACUACUUUACAUGUAACAGUAUUCAUCAAUACUUAUUGUGAACAAAUUAAGCCAUUUAGCAGGACUCCAGAUUUGUUUGAAAGUUUACUGACUCCUUCAGUCACAAACUGUAAACCUAUUGAAAUACACUGUCAUUAAUGACUCAUUCAGUUACAAAUAUGUAACCUACCAUAUUGAUUUUCAAUUUCAAUUCUUCAUUACUUUGAGCAAAUUAUGCUCAUUAGUACAAAUAUAAUAUAUAUGCAAAUACAAUAUAUCAUAAAUAAACACUUAAAACAUACAUGACUGAU
rnacentral:lncRNA from 1 species